AGGUGAUUAAAGAAUAUAAUCUUAGCUAAUGAAACAAACUUCUUUUCUCAUUUUUCCCCUAUGAGUAGAAACAAAUGGGUGAAACACAGAGGGAAUUUCAGCAGAGAAUUCAGAUGAGAGAGAAGGAGCUGCAGGAGCUGAGAGAGGCUGUGGCCUCAAUCACAAGAUCAGCACAGUCAGCAGUGGAGGAUAGUGAGAGGAUCUUCACUGAGAUGAUCCGCUCCAUUGAGAGAAGAUGCUCUGAGGUGACAAAGCUGAUCAGAGAUCAGGAGAAGGCUGCAGUGAGUCAGGCUGAUGGAUACAUGGAGAGACUGAAGCAGGAGAUCGAUGAACUGAAGAGGAGACACUCUGAGCUGGAGCAGCUUUCACACACAGAGGAUCACAUCCAUUUCCUCCAGAGGUGCCAGGGUCUUCCUGUUACCCCUGAACCUGGAUUUGGACCCAGAAUCUCUGUCUAUCCACGCUGCUCUUUUGAGAACGUGAGGAAGGUGGUUUCUGAACUGAAGGAUCAACUGGAGAAUGUUUGUGAAAAGAAAACAGCAGAGAUCCAUCACUCAGUUACCAAAGACACCAUCCUACCGGUAUUAGUGCCGAGGACCAGAGCAGAAUUCUUACAAUAUUCCUGUCAACUCACUCUAGACCCCAACACAGCAAACAAAGAACUCCGUCUGUCUGAGGGGAACAGAGUGGCGACAUGGAAGAGAGAGACACGGUUAUGUAUUGAUCAAUGGGAGCAGUUUUUCUCAUGCCGCCAAGUGCUGUGUACAGAGGGUCUGACUGGGUGCUGCUACUGGGAGGUUGAGUGGAGCGGGGGAUGGGUUGCUAUAGCCGUCACAUAUAAAGGGAUUGACAGGAAAGGAGGAGGUGAUGACAGCUGGCUUGGAUACAAUGACAAGUCCUGGUGUUUGUCCUGCUUAGGCUCCCAUUAUUCAUUCCGGCACAAUAAAGUAGAAACUGCAGUAUCUGCCCCCCCCUCCCCCAGGAUAGGAGUGUACCUGGAUCACGGGGCAGGAACUCUGUCCUUCUACAGCGUCUCUGACACAGUGACCCUCCUGCACAGGGUCCAGACCACGUUCACUGAGCCCCUCUAUCCUGGGUUUUAUCUCUAUCAACAAUCUACAAUCAAACUGUGCUGAUUAGAUUAACAGGCUGUUAAAAGUAUCUCAAAAACAAUUAACUAAAUGACUAAUACUACAAAACAUGGCUACUGGCUAUGACCAGUUUGCUGCCGACUACAGAAUGGACCUUCAUUUUACCCCAGUGAGCCCUAUAACUGCGCCAUCUGGGAUUAUAAAGACAGAAGCAGGCAGUGAUUCCAGGAGAUCAGUGCACAGAUCAAGCCAAGGUAUGUCUUCCAGGGGAUGUCAGUCCAUCACAGAGCAGGCAUUAUGUGUUUAGGUGAUUUGCAACUGGAAAUAAAAGUAAAAAUCAAUGCACUUAUAGAAAAUUAUGUGAAUUUUAGGACCCUGUGCAGUGACUUCCACGUUUGCUCUCACCUGUAUACAUUCAUAUAUUCUAUUCUAUUCUACUGCCAUGUUUCCUUUAAAUACUAAUAGAAGGUUUAGUUUGUUUAGAAAAUUAUUUAUAAUAACUAAUUCCAUCAAUUACAAAUGAUCUUUUUUUUGUAAACAAUGAAUUUUUUACAUAGUGAGUUGUAUUUUUUGGAGUGAGUAAAAUCAGUAAAAUUUCAGUAAUUAUACCUCUUUUACCAAGCAAUAAUAAUAAUAAAAACAGAUAUUAAGAUGAGAGCAGGCUUGGCAGUGAAGGGCAGCCACCUGCAGCGGUGCCCAUGGAGCUGGGGGAAUGGGGGGGCUGUUUCCGGGCCUUGUGAGGACCCACAGAUAUGUGACUAUUCUGCCAAAGCCAGCUGAGCCACAUGCUCUCCUCAAAUAAUUCAGCUACAUGUUUGAAUAAUUAACAGUGACUGCUUUAAGGUAAAUGAUAACUUUUAAAACGAUUUCUGUGUUUU